UUUGGUUAGACAUGGAAGUUCCAUACACGAACAAAAAUACCUUUAGUUUGUGUUGGUGCUGCGUCAUUCAAAAAAUUUCCCAUAUGUAGAAGAUACCACAUAUUUUCAUGAUGGUUUUUGCUUCCAUAGCUAAAAUCUCGUAUCCUUUCUCUUCUUUGUAGUUUCUAAAGUAGUGAAAAGAAGAUAUAAAUGGCCUCUCCCACUCAAACCAUUGCCUAUCCCAGGUGAAAUUUUCCUCUUCCAUAAUUCUUCCUCCCAACAACCUAAAUCACUAUAACAUCAUAUGAUGAUGGAGAGUUUUAGAAUUAAUAAAAAAAAUCUAUGGGACAAAGUAGCCAUAUUUUUCUCACCUAACCAUCCGGCAAAAUAGGAAUACUUCCCCCAUUUCUCAAUUUCCACCGAACUUGUUUUUCAUACCUAACAUUCCAC
rnacentral:lncRNA from 1 species